rnacentral:rRNA from 1 species
UGGUUAAAAAGCUCGUAGUUGGAUCUCAACAGCCUUGAAGCGGUUAACUUUGUAGUUUUACUGCUUUAUAGGCUGUGCUUUUGCUGGAGGUUUAGGGGUGCUCUUGAUCGAGUGUCCCUGGAUGCCAGCAGGUUUACUUUGAAAAAAUUAGAGUGCUCAAAGCAGGCUAAAAUGCCUGAAUAUUCGUGCAUGGAAUAAUAGAAUAGGAUGUCGAUCCUAUUUUGUUGGUUUUCGGGACUCGACAUAAUGAUAAAUAGGGACAGUCGGGGGCAUUUGUAUUCAAACGACAGAGGUGAAAUUCUUGGACCGUUUGAAGACAAACUACUGCGAAAGCAUUUGCCAAGAAUGUUUUCAUUAAUCAAGAACGAAAGUUAGAGGUUCGAAGGCGAUUAGAUACCGCCCUAGUUCUAACCAUAAACGAUGCCAGCUAGCGAUCUGCCUGCGUUUUUACUGUAGACUGGGCAGGAAGCUUCCGGGAAACCAAAGCAUUUGGGUUCCAGGGGAAGUAUGGUUGCAAAGCUGA